GAUGAACGCUGGCGGCGUGCCUAAUACAUGCAAGUCGAGCGAAUGGAUUGAGAGCUCGCUCUUAUGAAGUUAGCGGCGGACGGGUGAGUAACACGUGGGUAACCUGCCCAUAAGACUGGGAUAACUCCGGGAAACCGGGGCUAAUACCGGAUAACAUUUUGAACCGCAUGGUUCGAAAUUGAAAGGCGGCUUCGGCUGUCACUUAUGGAUGGACCCGCGUCGCAUUAGCUAGUUGGUGAGGUAACGGCUCACCAAGGCAACGAUGCGUAGCCGACCUGGGAGGGUGAUCGGCACACUGGGACUGAGACACGGCCCAGACUCCUACGGGAGGCAGCAGUAGGGAAUCUUCCGCAAUGGACGAAAGUCUGACGGAGCAACGCCGCGUGAGUGAUGAAGGCUUUCGGGUCGUAAAGCUCUGUUGUUAGGGAAGAACAAGUGCUAGUUGAAUAAGCUGGCACCUUGACGGUACCUAACCAGAAAGCCACGGCUAACUACGUGCCAGCCGCCGCGGUAA
rnacentral:rRNA from 1 species